rnacentral:rRNA from 1 species
GAUGGACGCUGGCGGCGUGCCUAAUACAUGCAAGUAGAACGCUGAAGGAGGAGCUUGCUCUUCUGGAUGAGUUGCGAACGGGUGAGUAACGCGUAGGUAACCUGCCUGGUAGCGGGGGAUAACUAUUGGAAACGAUAGCUAAUACCGCAUGACAACAGUUAUUGCAUGAUAACUGUUUAAAAGGGGCAACUGCUCCACUACCAGAUGGACCUGCGUUGUAUUAGCUAGUUGGUGAGGUAACGGCUCACCAAGGCGACGAUACAUAGCCGACCUGAGAGGGUGAUCGGCCACACUGGGACUGAGACACGGCCCAGACUCCUACGGGAGGCAGCAGUAGGGAAUCUUCGGCAAUGGACGGAAGUCUGACCGAGCAACGCCGCGUGAGUGAAGAAGGUUUUCGGAUCGUAAAGCUCUGUUGUAAGAGAAGAACGAGUGUGAGAGUGGAAAGUUCACACUGUGACGGUAUCUUACCAGAAAGGGACGGCUAACUACGUG